CCUGGAGAACAUUUGGCACUGCUUUAUUUUGGCCAGCAGACACUUUCGCUUUUCAUACCCAACCAAAACAGAAACUGGCCCAGGAUCCGUGAGCUUUCACUUGUGUGUUCACGCGGACACAAACAGCUGUUUUGAGUUGCCCUCCCGUUGCUCCGUGCCUUUAUUCGCCGGCGCUUGGCUCAGCUCGCUGAGAGCCGAAUCCUUUACAUGCAGGGUGCAGAGCCAGCUGGGGGUGUUUGUCAUUGCUCCACCUCUGCCCACUUCUCCUUCAGUGUCGGUGAGUGGCGACAGAACCGGUUCCUUCUUUUCCUGGAUGACAUCACCAAACCAGUGAGGUUUAAAAAAAAUGGACGACAGCGCCUACUCUGGGCUGAGGGCCAGGUCAGCGUCGUACCGCUGGAUCCCCACCUGUUUCUUAUGAUGGAGGAGCCCCGCUAGCCUUCCUCAGCUCCAUGUCUCAGAUUGAUCACUCCGUGGUCACUCCGUGGGGAUUAUCAGGGACUCUUGGUGAUGGUCGACUGCUUGAAGAACAAACAUUUUCUGGAGGUCUGAUCCCACGACGCCGUCUAGCUCCACGCCUUCCCUCAUCAGCUCCAUCUCUACGGCCUGAUGCAACGCAGAAUCUACAGGAAAUCAAAGACAUGACGAGGCAGAACUCUUCAAUUUGACUUUGGGCCAUUUCCCUUAGAUCCCAGGCUGUUAAAUCGGAGCGCCCAAGACUAUAAAUAAUGCAAACAUUCAAGAAAAUCUGAGGAACUAUUGGUCAGUUUUGAUUCUUCGUGUCUGUGAGCUCUCCGGUGUGUUGUUGCAGCCUCUCUGGGAACCAUAUGCUUUUAGAUACUUUACUAAAAACCGAUCAAUAUUGAUGAGGCUGACAGGGGGAAGAGAACGAUCACUCUCCAGCCAUCAUGCGCUAAUGAAUACCAUGAACGUGGCUCCAGCCAAGGGGAAGGUGUGCGGGAUCCAACGGCUGCGCGUGAUGCAUUACUGCUGAAGAUUAA
rnacentral:lncRNA from 1 species